rnacentral:guide_RNA from 1 species
CACACGGAAACUAUAAAUGGCAGUGAAGAUAGUUAAAGGU